GAUGACGCUAGCGGCAGGCUAACACAUGCAAGUCGAGGGAGAAGCCUUCGGGCUGAACCGGCGCACGGGUGCGUACGCGUAUACAUCUGCCUUUCACAUAGGGAUAGCCCGAAGAAAUUUGGAUUAAUACCUAAUGGUAUAUAGGAGCGGCAUCGUUUUUAUAUUAAAGCUACGGUGGUGAAAGAUGAGUAUGCGUUCUAUUAGCUAGUUGGAGAGGUAACGGCUCCCCAAGGCGACGAUAGAUAGGGGUUCUGAGAGGGAUGUCCCCCACACUGGUACUGAGAUACGGACCAGACUCCUACGGGAGGCAGCAGUGAGGAAUAUUGGACAAUGGUCGGAAGACUGAUCCAGCCAUGCCGCGUGCAGGAUGAAGGUCCUAUGGAUUGUAAACUGCUUUUGUAAGGGAAGAAUAAGGGGUACGUGUACUUUGAUGACGGUACCUUACGAAUAAGCAUCGGCUAACUCCGUGCCAGCAGCCGCGGUAAUACGGGGGAUGCGAGCGUUAUCCGGAAUCAUUGGGUUUAAAGGGUCCGUAGGCGGGCUAAUAAGUCAGAGGUGAAAGCGUUCAGCUCAACUGAGCAACUGCCUUUGAAACUGUUAGUCUUGAAUGAUUGUGAAGUAGUUGGAAUGUGUAGUGUAGCGGUGAAAUGCUUAGAUAUUACACAGAACACCGAUAGCGAAGGCAUAUUACUAACAAUUUAUUGACGCUGAUGGACGAAAGCGUGGGGAGCGAACAGG
rnacentral:rRNA from 1 species